AGAUGGAUUUCGGUCAGAUUUUGGUUGGAUUUUGUUGCAUUUGAUUGGAUUUUGGUUGGAUUUUGUUGCAUUUGAUUGGAUUUUGGUUGAAUUUGAUUGGAUUUAGAUGGUUUUUGGGUGGAUUUGGUUGGAUUUUUGGUGGAUCUGGAUGGAUUUUGGUUGGAUUUGGGUGGGAUUUGGGUGUUUUUUGAUUGGAUCUGGUUGGAUUUCAGUCAGAUCUGGUUGGAUUUUGUGGGAUUUUGGUUUGAUUUCAGUCGGAUUUGGUUGGAUUUUGUUUGGAUUUCGAUUGGAUUUUGUGGGAUUUGGUUGAAUUUGGUCGGAUCUGGUUGGAUUUUGUGGGAUUUUGGUUUGAUUUCCGUUGGAUUUUGUGGGAUCUGGUUGAAUUUGUUUGGAUUUUGGUCAGAUUUGGUUGGAUUUUGGUUGGAUUUUGUGGGAUCUGUUUGGAUUUUGGUCAGAUUUUGGUUGGAUUUUGUGGGAUCUGUUUGGAUUUGGUCAGAUUUCGGUCGGAUUUUGUGGGAUUUUGGUCAGAUUUCGAUUGGAUUUUGUGGGAUCUGUUUGGAUUUUGGUCGGAUUUUGGUUGGAUUUUGUGGGAUCUGGUUGGAUUUGGUCAGAUCUGUUUGGAUUUGGUCAGAUUUCGGUUGGAUUUUGUGGGAUCUGGUUGAAUUUGGUCGGAUUUCGGUCGGAUUUUGUGGGAUUUUGGUCGGAUUUUGGUCGGAUUUUGGUUUGAUUUCGGUUGGAUUUUGUGGGAUCUGUUUGGAUUUUGGUUGGAUUUCGGUCGGAUUUUGUGGGAUUUUGGUCAGAUUUCGGUUGGAUUUUGUGGGAUCUGUUUGGAUUUUGUGGGAUCUGUUUGGAUUUGGUCGGAUUUUGAUUGGAUUUUGUGGGAUUUGGAUGGAUUUUGGUCAGAUUUCGGUUGGAUUUUGUGGGAUUUUGGUCGGAUUUCGGUUGGAUUUUGUGGGAUCUGUUUGAAUUUGGUCGUUUCUGCUGGCACUGACGGUGUCCCCGCGGUCCCCGUGCCCAGGCCAUGCUCCAUUACCGCUCCCGCCUGCUGCGGGCCCUGCACACCGCGGCCUUCGCCGGCCUCUUCCUCAGCGGCUUCGCCGAGCAGAGCCAGACCCUGGAGC
rnacentral:lncRNA from 1 species